rnacentral:rRNA from 1 species
GUUGAAAAAGUUAGUGGUGAAAUCCCAGAGCUUAACUCUGGAACUGCCAUUAAAACUUUUCAGCUAGAGUAUGAUAGAGGAAAGCAGAAUUUCUAGUGUAGAGGUGAAAUUCGUAGAUAUUAGAAAGAAUACCAAUUGCGAAGGCAGCUUUCUGGAUCAUUACUGACACUGAGGAACGAAAGCAUGGGUAGCGAAGAGGAUUAGAUACCCUCGUAGUCCAUGCCGUAAACGAUGUGUGUUAGACGUUGGAAAUUUAUUUUCAGUGUCGCAGCGAAAGCGAUAAACACACCGCCUGGGGAGUACGACCGCAAGGUUAAAACUCAAAUGAAUUGACGGGGACCCGCACAAGUAGUGGAGCAUGUGGUUUAAUUCGAAGAUACGCGCAGAACCUUACCAACACUUGACAUGUUCGUCGCGACUCUAAGAGAUUAGAGUUUUCGGUUCGGCCGGACGAAACACAGGUGCUGCAUGGCUGUCGUCAGCUCGUGUCGUGAGAUGUUGGGUUAAGUCCCGCAACGAGCGCAACCCUCACUUUUAGUUGCCAUCAUUAAGUUGGGCACUCUGAAAGAACUGCCAGUGAUAAGCUGGAGGAAGGUGGGGAUGACGUCAAGUCCUCAUGGCCCUUACGUGUUGGGCUACACACGUGCUACAAUGGUAUCUACAACA